rnacentral:rRNA from 1 species
ACCGCAUGGUUUUGAUUUGAAAGGCGCUUUCGGGUGUCACUGAUGGAUGGACCCGCGGUGCAUUAGCUAGUUGGUGAGGUAACGGCUCACCAAGGCCACGAUGCAUAGCCGACCUGAGAGGGUGAUCGGCCACAUUGGGACUGAGACACGGCCCAAACUCCUACGGGAGGCAGCAGUAGGGAAUCUUCGGCAAUGGACGAAAGUCUGACCGAGCAACGCCGCGUGAGUGAAGAAGGUUUUCGGAUCGUAAAACUCUGUUGUUAGAGAAGAACAAGGAUGAGAGUAACUGUUCAUCCCUUGACGGUAUCUAACCAGAAAGCCACGGCUAACUACGUGCCAGCAGCCGCGGUAAUACGUAGGUGGCAAGCGUUGUCCGGAUUUAUUGGGCGUAAAGCGAGCGCAGGCGGUUUCUUAAGUCUGAUGUGAAAGCCCCCGGCUCAACCGGGGAGGGUCAUUGGAAACUGGGAGACUUGAGUGCAGAAGAGGAGAGUGGAAUUCCAUGUGUAGCGGUGAAAUGCGUAGAUAUAUGGAGGAACACCAGUGGCGAAGGCGGCUCUCUGGUCUGUAACUGACGCUGAGGCUCGAAAGCGUGGGGAGCAAACAGGAUUAGAUACCCUGGUAGUCCACGCCGUAAACGAUGAGUGCUAAGUGUUGGAGGGUUUCCGCCCUUCAGUGCUGCAGCUAACGCAUUAAGCACUCCGCCUGGGGAGUACGACCGCAAGGUUGAAACUCAAAGGAAUUGACGGGGGCCCGCACAAGCGGUGGAGCAUGUGGUUUAAUUCGAAGCAACGCGAAGAACCUUACCAGGUCUUGACAUCCUUUGACCACUCUAGAGAUAGAGCUUCCCCUUCGGGGGCAAAGUGACAGGUGGUGCAUGGUUGUCGUCAGCUCGUGUCGUGAGAUGUUGGGUUAAGUCCCGCAACGAGCGCAACCCUUAUUGUUAGUUGCCAUCAUUCAGUUGGGCACUCUAGCAAGACUGCCGGUGACAAACCGGAGGAAGGUGGGGAUGACGUCAAAUCAUCAUGCCCCUUAUGACCUGGGCUACACACGUGCU